rnacentral:rRNA from 1 species
UACGUAGGGUGCAAGCGUUGUCCGGAAUUAUUGGGCGUAAAGAGCUCGUAGGCGGUCUGUCGCGUCUGCUGUGAAAACUCGGAGCUCAACUCCGAGCCUGCGUUCGAUACUGGACGGCUAGAGUCUGGUAGGGGGAUCUGGAAUUCCUGGUGUAGCGGUGGAAUGCGCAGAUAUCAGGAGGAAUACCGGUGGCGAAGGCGGGAUCCUGGGCCAGUACUGACGCUGAGGAGCGAAAGCGUGGGGAGCAAACAGG